rnacentral:rRNA from 1 species
AUUGAACGCUGGCGGCAGGCCUAACACAUGCAAGUCGAGCGGCAGCGGAAAGUAGCUUGCUACUUUGCCGGCGAGCGGCGGACGGGUGAGUAAUGUCUGGGAAACUGCCUGAUGGAGGGGGAUAACUACUGGAAACGGUAGCUAAUACCGCAUGACCUCGAAAGAGCAAAGUGGGGGAUCUUCGGACCUCACGCCAUCGGAUGUGCCCAGAUGGGAUUAGCUAGUAGGUGAGGUAAUGGCUCACCUAGGCGACGAUCCCUAGCUGGUCUGAGAGGAUGACCAGCCACACUGGAACUGAGACACGGUCCAGACUCCUACGGGAGGCAGCAGUGGGGAAUAUUGCACAAUGGGCGCAAGCCUGAUGCAGCCAUGCCGCGUGUGUGAAGAAGGCCUUAGGGUUGUAAAGCACUUUCAGCGAGGAGGAAGGCACCAUACUUAAUACGUGUGGUGAUUGACGUUACUCGCAGAAGAAGCACCGGCUAACUCCGUGCCAGCAGCCGCGGUAAUACGGAGGGUGCAAGCGUUAAUCGGAAUUACUGGGCGUAAAGCGCACGCAGGCGGUUUGUUAAGUCAGAUGUGAAAUCCCCGCGCUUAACGUGGGAACUGCAUCUGAAACUGGCAAGCUAGAGUCUUGUAGAGGGGGGUAGAAUUCCAGGUGUAGCGGUGAAAUGCGUAGAGAUCUGGAGGAAUACCGGUGGCGAAGGCGGCCCCCUGGACAAAGACUGACGCUCAGGUGCGAAAGCGUGGGGAGCAAACAGG